rnacentral:rRNA from 1 species
CCUACGGGAGGCAGCAGUGGGGAAUAUUGCACAAUGGGGGAAACCCUGAUGCAGCGACGCCGCGUGAGUGAAGAAGUAUUUCGGUAUGUAAAGCUCUGUCAGCAGGGAAGAAAAUGACGGUACCUGACCAAGAAGCCCCGGCUAACUACGUGCCAGCAGCCGCGGUAAUACGUAGGGGGCAAGCGUUAUCCGGAUUUACUGGGUGUAAAGGGUGCGUAGACGGCAGGGCAAGUCUGGAGGGAAAGGCGGGGGCUCAACCCCCGGACUGCUCUGGAAACUGCCAGGCUAGAGUGCAGGAGAGGUAAGUGGAAUUCCUAGUGUAGCGGUGAAAUGCGUAGAUAUUAGGAGGAACACCAGUGGCGAAGGCGACUUUCUGGACAGUAACUGACGUUGAGGCACGAAAGUGUGGGGAGCAAACAGGAUUAGAUACCCGAGUAGUC